rnacentral:rRNA from 1 species
CGUUCCCGGGUCUUGUACACACCGCCCGUCACACCAUGGGAGCGGGUUUUACCAGAAGUAGGUAGCUUAACCGCAAGGAGGGCGCUUACCACGGUAGGAUUCGUGACUGGGGUGAAGUCGUAACAAAGGUACCC